ensembl:rRNA 5S_rRNA 5S ribosomal RNA
GCCGAAGGGUAAAGCCACUUGAGGCAGAGCUAAGUCAAGAAAUGGAAGGAGUCUGAUCUCGGAAGCUAAGCAGGGUCGGGCCUGGUUAGUACUUGGAUGGGAGAUCACCUAGGAAGACCAGGUGCUGUAGGUG